UACGUAGGGGGCAAGCGUUGUCCGGAUGCAUUGGGCGUAAAGAGCGUGUAGGCGGCCAGGUAGGUCGGUUGUGAAAACUGGAGGCUCAACCUUCAGAGGUCGACCGAAACCAUCUGGCUAGAGUCCGGGAGAGGAGAGUGGAAUUCCUGGUGUAGCGGUGAAAUGCGCAGAUAUCAGGAAGAACACCCGUGGCGAAAGCGGCUCUCUGGAACGGUACUGACGCUGAGACGCGAAAGCGUGGGGAGCGAACAGG
rnacentral:rRNA from 1 species